ACGCGUAUGCAACUUACCUAUCAGAGGGGGAUAACCCGGCGAAAGUCGGACUAAUACCGCAUGAAGCAGGGGCCCCGCAUGGGGAUAUUUGCUAAAGAUUCAUCGCUGAUAGAUAGGCAUGCGUUCCAUUAGGCAGUUGGCGGGGUAACGGCCCACCAAACCGACGAUGGAUAGGGGUUCUGAGAGGAAGGUCCCCCACAUUGGUACUGAGACACGGACCAAACUCCUACGGGAGGCAGCAGUGAGGAAUAUUGGUCAAUGGGCGUAAGCCUGAACCAGCCAAGUCGCGUGAGGGAUGAAGGUUCUAUGGAUCGUAAACCUCUUUUAUAAGGGAAUAAAGUGCGGGACGUGUCCCGUUUUGUAUGUACCUUAUGAAUAAGGAUCGGCUAACUCCGUGCCAGCAGCCGCGGUAAUACGGAGGAUCCGAGCGUUAUCCGGAUUUAUUGGGUUUAAAGGGUGCGUAGGCGGCCUUUUAAGUCAGCGGUGAAAGUCUGUGGCUCAACCAUAGAAUUGCCGUUGAAACUGGGGGGCUUGAGUAUGUUUGAGGCAGGCGGAAUGCGUGGUGUAGCGGUGAAAUGCUUAGAUAUCACGCAGAACCCCGAUUGCGAAGGCAGCCUGCCAAGCCAUGACUGACGCUGAUGCACGAAAGCGUGGGGAUCAAACAGGAUUAGAUACCCUGGUAGUCCACGCAGUAAACGAUGAUCACUAGCUGUUUGCGAUACACUGUAAGCGGCACAGCGAAAGCGUUAAGUGAUCCACCUGGGGAGUACGCCGGCAACGGUGAAACUCAAAGGAAUUGACGGGGGCCCGCACAAGCGGAGGAACAUGUGGUUUAAUUCGAUGAUACGCGAGGAACCUUACCCGGGUUUGAACGCAUUUCGACCGCUCUGGAAACAGAGCCUCUAGCAAUAGCGAUUUGCGAGGUGCUGCAUGGUUGUCGUCAGCUCGUGCCGUGAGGUGUCGGCUUAAGUGCCAUAACGAGCGCAACCCUUGCCACUAGUUACUAACAGGUGAUGCUGAGGACUCUGGUGGGACUGCCAGCGUAAGCUGCGAGGAAGGCGGGGAUGACGUCAAAUCAGCACGGCCCUUACAUCCGGGGCGACACACGUGUUACAAUGGCGUGGACAAAGGGAGGCCACCUGGCGACAGGGAGCGAAUCCCCAAACCACGUCUCAGUUCGGAUCGGAGUCUGCAACCCGACUCCGUGAAGCUGGAUUCGCUAGUAAUCGCGCAUCAGCCAUGGCGCGGUGAAUACGUUCCCGGG
rnacentral:rRNA from 1 species